rnacentral:rRNA from 1 species
AGAGUUUGAUCAUGGCUCAGAUUGAACGCUGGCGGCAGGCUUAACACAUGCAAGUCGAACGGUAACAGGGAGAAGCUUGCUUCUUUGCUGACGAGUGGCGGACGGGUGAGUAAUGCUUGGGAAUCUGGCUUAUGGAGGGGGAUAACUACGGGAAACUGUAGCUAAUACCGCGUAAUAUCUUUGGAUUAAAGGGUGGGACUUUCGGGCCACCUGCCAUAAGAUGAGCCCAAGUGGGAUUAGGUAGUUGGUGGGGUAAAGGCCUACCAAGCCGACGAUCUCUAGCUGGUCUGAGAGGAUGACCAGCCACACUGGAACUGAGACACGGUCCAGACUCCUACGGGAGGCAGCAGAGGGGAAUAUUGCACAAUGGGGGGAACCCUGAUGCAGCCAUGCCGCGUGAAUGAAGAAGGCCUUCGGGUUGUAAAGUUCUUUCGGUGAUGAGGAAGGUGUUUGUUUUAAUGGAACAAGCAAUUGACGUUAGUCACAGAAGAAGCACCGGCUAACUCCGUGCCAGCAGCCGCGGUAAUACGGAGGGUGCGAGCGUUAAUCGGAAUGACUGGGCGUAAAGGGCACGCAGGCGGUGACUUAAGUGAGAUGUGAAAGCCCCGGGCUUAACCUGGGAAUUGCAUUUCAUACUGGGUCGCUGGAGUAUUUUAGGGAGGGGUAGAAUUCCACGUGUAGCGGUGAAAUGCGUAGAGAUGUGGAGGAAUACCGAAGGCGAAGGCAGCCCCUUGGGAAUAUACUGACGCUCAUGUGCGAAAGCGUGGGGAGCAAACAGGAUUAGAUACCCUGGUAGUCCACGCUGUAAACGCUGUCGAUUUGGGGAUUGGGCUUAGAGCUUGGUGCCCGUAGCU